AGCCCCUUGAGCCCGAGCCCCUCGAAGGCCACCCCGCACCCCCCUCCCGACCUGGCUUGCGCGGUCCCGACCCCGCCCAGCUCCGUGGCCUCACCUCUGACUCCUAGGCCCUCCCUGCCUAACCCCCUGCCGCGGGAGUCCGUCUCGACCCCUUCCAUGCCUCCCAGUCCCACCCUGCCCAGGGCAAGCCCGCUCGGUGUGACGGUUCCCCGCGAGUCGAGGGUAGAGAAGCCAGCCUCCUGCCCCCGAGUGGGACUCUAGCAGCCCACCUCUUUUAGGGGUGCUGAGAACACCCAUUACUCAUCCACAGCUACUAGGGUAGCUUUCUCAGGGUGCAGUGCUUACGGGGCGGAGGGGGAUGGAAACAGACCCAUGCCCUGGCUGGAAGGGAGCUCCAGUCGCUAGGUGAGCCCAGUAGCCUUUGGCUUGGCAGAGGCACCACUGUUAUAGUUUUUCUCCAUACUAGGCAUAAGGUAGGAACAAAAAAGGAAGAACCAGCCCUUCCAGGGCUCAGGGGAGCAACACCAGAAUGUCCGCUCAGUACUUGUGAGGACAGAGGCUGGAGAGAGGACUACCCAUUUACACUCAGAACCUCGAUACCUCUCUCUGCUCUGUGCUGGAGAGUGCAGAGCCAGAGAUCCAGAACGGCCCAUCUCUAAAGGUGGCCAUGUAUGGUGCUCUCAGGGCCAGAGCGGGGCAGGAGGAUGCUUUCCCAGCCCCACCAUGGAGCUGCGCUGUGGGGGAUUGCUGUUCAGUUCUCGCUUUGAUUCAGGGAAUCUAGCCCACGUGGAGAAGGUGGAAUCUUUGUCCAGUGAUGGGGAAGGGGUAGGAGGUGGGGCGUCAGCCCUGACCAGUGGCAUUGCCUCUUCCCCUGACUAUGAAUUCAACGUGUGGACCCGACCAGACUGUGCUGAAACGGAAUUUGAGAAUGGGAACAGGUCAUGGUUCUACUUCAGCGUCCGGGGAGGAAUGCCAGGAAAACUCAUCAAGAUCAACAUUAUGAACAUGAACAAGCAGAGCAAGCUGUAUUCCCAGGGCAUGGCCCCCUUUGUGCGCACACUGCCCACCCGGCCACGCUGGGAACGCGUUCGAGACCGGCCCACCUUUGAGAUGACAGAGACGCAGUUUGUGUUAUCCUUUGUUCAUCGUUUCGUGGAGGGCCGUGGGGCCACCACCUUCUUCGCCUUCUGCUACCCCUUCUCCUACAGUGACUGCCAGGAACUGCUAAACCAGCUAGACCAGCGCUUUCCGGAGAACCACCCUACCCAUAGCAGCCCCCUGGAUACCAUCUAUUACCAUCGGGAGCUCCUUUGCUAUUCUCUGGAUGGACUUCGUGUAGAUCUGCUGACGAUCACUUCCUGCCAUGGGCUUCGAGAAGAUCGAGAGCCCCGUCUAGAGCAGCUAUUUCCUGAUACCAGCACCCCUCGACCAUUUCGUUUCGCAGGCAAGAGGAUAUUCUUCUUAAGCAGUAGAGUACACCCAGGGGAGACUCCAUCUAGCUUUGUCUUCAAUGGCUUUCUGGACUUCAUCCUCCGACCUGAUGAUCCCCGGGCCCAAACCCUCCGUCGCCUCUUCGUCUUUAAGCUGAUUCCCAUGUUGAACCCCGAUGGUGUGGUCCGGGGACACUACCGCACAGACUCACGUGGAGUGAAUCUGAACCGUCAGUACCUGAAGCCUGAUGCCAUCCUGCACCCGGCCAUCUAUGGGGCCAAAGCUGUGCUUCUCUACCACCAUGUGCACUCUCGUCUGAACUCCCAGAGUUCCUCUGAGCACCAGCCCAGUCCCUGUCUCCCUCCUGAUGCUCCUGUUUCUGACCUGGAGAAAGCCAACAAUCUCCAAAAUGAAGCUCAGUGUGGGCACUCAGCUGACAGGCAUAACGCUGAAGCCUGGAAACAAACAGAGCCAGCAGAACAGAAGCUCAACAGUGUGUGGAUUAUGCCACAACAGUCUGCGGGGCUUGAAGAGCCAGCCCCUGAUACCAUCCCCCCCAAAGAGAGUGGCGUUGCUUACUAUGUGGACCUGCAUGGACAUGCUUCCAAAAGGGGCUGCUUCAUGUACGGAAACAGCUUUAGUGAUGAGAGCACCCAGGUGGAAAACAUGCUAUAUCCAAAGCUCAUCUCCUUGAAUUCAGCCCACUUCGACUUCCAGGGCUGCAAUUUCUCAGAGAAGAAUAUGUAUGCCCGAGACCGUAGAGAUGGCCAGUCUAAAGAGGGAAGCGGCCGUGUUGCAAUCUACAAAGCCUCAGGGAUAAUCCACAGCUACACACUUGAAUGCAACUACAACACUGGACGCUCAGUAAACAGCAUCCCUGCUGCCUGCCAUGACAAUGGGCGUGCCAGCCCCCCUCCCCCGCCGGCUUUCCCCUCCAGAUACACUGUGGAACUAUUUGAGCAGGUGGGACGAGCUAUGGCCAUUGCAGCCCUGGACAUGGCGGAAUGUAAUCCGUGGCCCCGAAUUGUACUGUCAGAGCACAGCAGCCUUACUAAUCUACGGGCCUGGAUGCUGAAACAUGUACGCAACAGCCGAGGCCUAAGCAGCACUCUGAAUGUGGGUGUCAACAAGAAGAGGGGCCUUCGAACUCCACCCAAAAGUCACAAUGGGUUGCCUGUCUCCUGCUCCGAAAACACCUUGAGUCGGGCACGAAGUUUUAGCACCGGCACAAGUGCCGGUGGUAGCAGCAGCAGCCAACAAAAUUCUCCACAGAUGAAGAAUUCCCCCAGCUUUCCUUUUCAUGGCAGUCGGCCUGCAGGGCUGCCAGGCCUGGGCUCUAGUACCCAAAAGGUCACCCACCGGGUGCUGGGCCCCGUCAGAGAGCCCCGAAGCCAGGACAGGAGACGGCGGCAGCAGCCCCUGAACCAUCGUCCUGCAGGCAGCCUCGCUCCAUCCCCAGCUCCUACUAGUUCUGGCCCAGCCUCCUCACACAAGCUGGGCUCCUGUCUACUGCCUGAUUCGUUCAACAUACCAGGGAGCAGUUGCUCACUCUUGUCCUCUGGAGACAAACCAGAGGCUGUCAUGGUAAUCGGGAAAGGUCUGCUAGGGACUGGAGCUCGGAUGCCCUGCAUCAAGACUCGAUUGCAGGUAAUAUUUUUGGGUCUCCAGCAUAGCUACUCUGGCAGAACCCAGCAAGGCACUGUUCCUCUGGGUAGUGGGAGGGAAAAUGCUCAGCACUGCUUCACUGCAUCUACCCUUGGCCACAUCAGAGAGCUUCUCUGGUGCCUGAGUGCCUGUCUGUCCAGUCCCCUUCCUGCCUUCCACCAUCCCCAUCAGCCAGGUCAUUUGCUUGCUUUCAACCUGUGUCCCUGCCAGAUAUACCCCAACCUUAGCCUGCUAGCUUUGGCUUUCCCUGCCCCUGCCCUUAGCUUCUCCUCUCUUUCUGCCCAGACCUGUCCGAGGAGAGUUUCCGCCAGGAGGGGUCCCGGAUUCCCCAGGCUAGGCCCAGGUUGGGCCAGGGCUCACCGCCGACUCGCAGAGGGAUGAAAGGCUCUUCAGGCCCCACAUCCCCUACCCCCCGGACCAGGGAGAGCAGUGAGCUGGAGCCGGGAUCCUGCUCUGCUACACCAGGGCUGCCUCAGGCCAGGCCCCCACGGCCCCGCUCUGCCCCUGCCUUUUCUCCUAUAUCCUGUAGUCUAUCUGACUCCCCAUCCUGGAAUUGUUACAGCAGGGGUCCCUUGGGCCAACCUGAGGUUUGUUUUGUCCCUAAAUCUCCCCCACUGACUGUUUCUCCCCGGGUCUGAUAAUGCCUUUAUGUUCAAGCCCAGGAUAUAGCCCCAAGAUGGGGUAACAGUGGGAAAUAUGCUAGUUCCCCUCCAGGCCGCUGAUUCCAUGUGACAGCCGUUAAGUCCUUGGAAUGCCAGCCACGCUGUCCAAGGCAUUACAGAGUAUCACCUUGAGACAGAACAAAACAGGGACCUGCCACCCCUUCCCUCCCUCCGCAGCACAAGAUUUUGGGACCACAAAAAAAAGUCUAUAUUUUUAUAUUGGGGGGAGGGAGUAGAAAAGCAAGCCCCUAUACUGGGCCCUAUUCAGUGGCAGCUUCUUGUUCCAUAGGAUUAAGGAAGACUCUGAGGAAAUAAAAGUUGUUUGGAAAAA